UAGGGAAUCUUGCGCAAUGGGCGAAAGCCUGACGCAGCCAUGCCGCGUGAAUGAUGAAGGUCUUAGGAUUGUAAAAUUCUUUCACCGGGGAAGAUAAUGACGGUACCCGGAGAAGAAGCCCCGGCUAACUUCGUGCCAGCAGCCGCGGUAAUACGAAGGGGGCUAGCGUUGCUCGGAAUUACUGGGCGUAAAGGGCGCGUAGGCGGAUAUUUAAGUUAGAGGUGAAAGCCCAGGGCUCAACCCUGGAAUAGCCUUUAAUACUGGAUAUCUUGAGUUCGGGAGAGGUGAGUGGAACUCCGAGUGUAGAGGUGAAAUUCGUAGAUAUUCGGAAGAACACCAGUGGCGAAGGCGACUCACUGGCCCGAUACUGACGCUGAGGCGCGAAAGCGUGGGGAGCAAACAGG
rnacentral:rRNA from 1 species